rnacentral:rRNA from 1 species
UACGAAGGGGGCUAGCGUUGUUCGGAAUCACUGGGCGUAAAGCGCACGUAGGCGGCUUCUUAAGUCAGGGGUGAAAUCCUGGAGCUCAACUCCAGAACUGCCUUUGAUACUGGGGAGCUUCGAGUCCGGGAGAGGUGAGUGGAACUGCGAGUGUAGAGGUGAAAUUCGUAGAUAUCAGGAAGAACACCCGUGGCGAAGGCGGUUCUCUGGGCCUGUACUGACGCUGAGGAGCGAAAGCGUGGGGAGCGAACAGG